GCCAGGUGUGGUGGUGCAUGCCUGUAAUCCCAGCAUCUUGGGAGGCUGUGGUAGAAGAAUCCUAAGUUCAAAGCCAGCCUCAGCAACUUAGCAAGGCUCUAAGCAACUUAGGACACUGCCUCUA
rnacentral:sRNA from 1 species